rnacentral:rRNA from 1 species
ACCUGCCCAUCAGAGGGGGAUAACAUCCGGAAACGGAUGCUAAAACCGCAUAGGUCUUCGAACCGCAUGGUUUGAAGAGGAAAAGAGGCGCAAGCUUCUGCUGAUGGAUGGACCCGCGGUGCAUUAGCUAGUUGGUGAGGUAACGGCUCACCAAGGCCGUGAUGCAUAGCCGACCUGAGAGGGUGAUCGGCCACAUUGGGACUGAGACACGGCCCAA